GACAAACGCUGGCGGCGUGCUUAACACAUGCAAGUCGAACGGAAAGGCCCUGCUUUUGUGGGGUGCUCGAGUGGCGAACGGGUGAGUAACACGUGAGUAACCUGCCCUUGACUUUGGGAUAACUUCAGGAAACUGGGGCUAAUACCGGAUAGGAGCUCCUGCUGCAUGGUGGGGGUUGGAAAGUUUCGGCGGUUGGGGAUGGACUCGCGGCUUAUCAGCUUGUUGGUGGGGUAGUGGCUUACCAAGGCUUUGACGGGUAGCCGGCCUGAGAGGGUGACCGGCAAAAUUGGGACUGAGAUACGGCCCAGACUCCGACGGGAGGCAGCAGUGGGGAAUAUUGCACAAUGGGCGGAAGCCUGAUGCAGCAACGCCGCGUGCGGGAUGACGGCCUUCGGGUUGUAAACCGCUUUCGCCUGUGACGAAGCGUGAGUGACGGGAAUGGGUAAAGAAGCACCGGCUAACUACGUG
rnacentral:rRNA from 1 species